AAGAUAAGCACCUGCAAAGGGUGGGGAUCUAGCCAGGAAAGCAUCUUUGAACAGGUGAAGCAAACAAUACGAAGGAAAAGGUACAAGAACAAACUCAACAAGUGGGCCACUGACAAGUUAUCUAUUGUGGGAUAGUAUUAAAACAUAGUAUUAAAACAUGAAACUUGGCACAUAUUAAUAUAAUGGAAAUUAUCCUAUUUAGAUGCAAAGAAAUAAAUCAGCUUUGAUUGUCAUUAAACAAAAUUGGAAAGAGAAAAGAA